AACGCACCUUGCACCCUUUGGUAUUCCGAAGGGUAUGCUCGUUUGAGUGUCAUUGUACUCUCACACUCCAAAGUCCUUUGGAUUUGGGAAGUGGUGGACUUGGGUGGUGCAGCUUCCUUGUUGCUCACCUCAAAUGUGUUAGUGCAACUCUUGGUUGGACAUAGUACGGCAUGAUAAGUGUCUUUGCCGGCGACCUGCCUUCGCUUUGGAGGGGGAAGGGUGGCCAAUCGAAGGGCUCUGUGCUUUCGAAUCGUCUUCGGACAAGCUCACAAGCUCUCUGACAAUUUGACCUCAAAUCGAGUAGGACUACCCGCUGAACUUAA
rnacentral:misc_RNA from 1 species